rnacentral:rRNA from 1 species
GCUUACAGCCAUAUCAUGUUGAAACCAUCAGUUCUCGUCUGAUCACUGAAGUUAAGCAAUGUUGAGCCUAGUUAGUACUUAGAUGGGUGACCACUUGGGAAACCUAGGUGCUGUAAGUG